rnacentral:lncRNA from 1 species
CAGUCGUUGACACACCCUCGAGCUCACAUUUCCUCUAUACUAGUACUGCACCAGUACAGGCCAGUGAUGGAUGUGGCCUUUGUACAGUUCUUGGCAUCAGUUUCUGGGAAAGUCUCUUGUUUGGACACCUGCGGUGACUUGCUGGUGACUCUACAGUCCCUGAGCCGCCAGGGUGAGAAGCGGAGCCUCCAGCUCUCCGGCAAGGUCAACGCCAUGACUUUCACCUUUGACAACGUGCUCCCUGGAAAAUACAAAAUAAGCAUCAUGCAUGAGGAUUGGUGCUGGAAGAACAAGAGCCUGGAGGUGGAAGUGCUGGAGGAUGAGGUGUCUGCAGUUGAGUUCAGGCAGACGGGCUACAUGCUGAGAUGUUCCCUGUCUCACGCCAUCACUCUGGGGCCCAGCAGGGAGCUCGUAUGCCGCUCGUGCCUGAAGCAGACGCUGCACAAGCUGGAGGCCAUGAUGCGCAUCCUGCAGGCAGAGACCACCGCAGGCACCGUGAUGCCCACCGCCAUCGGAGACAGCAUCCUCAACAUCACAGGAGACGCUCAUCCACCUGGCCAGCUCAGAUGUGCGGCACGCACAGGCCUCAGAGCUGGAGCCGAGUCAUCAAUCGCGGAUGGUGGCGUCCCAGGCCUACAACCUGCCUCUGCCCUCAUGCGCAUCCUCACACGCUCGCCGCGUGCUCAACGGGAGCACCUGACGCUGGCGGCGAGGGAGAUCGUGGCCGCAGGGCAAGCUCGGACCACGCUGCGGAGCCUGCUGUGGGCUAUGCGGCGCCCAGGGGUCUGGCUGCCACUUCUCCAUCCCUAGCGUUUCAGCAGGGCCCUGGCCAACCUCAGUGACGUGGUGCAGCUCAUCUUUCUGGUGGACUCCAAUCCCUUUUCCCUUUGGCUAUAUCAGCCAACUACACCGUCUCCACGCAAGGUGCCUCGAUGGCGUUCCAGGCACGGGCGCCCAGAUCCCCAUCGAGCGCUCUGGCCUCAUAGCGCGCCAUCACCGUGAAGGUGCCCAACAACUCUGACUGGGCUGCGCCCGGGGCCACCGCACUCCGCAACCAGUCCGUUGUGGUCCAGCCCGCAGGCCUCCGUCGGUGGCUGUGGUCACCCUGGACAGCAGCAACCUGCGCCCGUGCUGCAUCUGCAGCUCAACUGUACGCUGCUGGACAGUGCUGCAGUGGGGGGGCACACCGGCCCCCUGGCCUUGUUCUUGGGGGGAAGGCCUUUCUCGUAGG